CUCCUCAGAAAUAGAAUUGCCAGUCAUCUUGUUUUUAAACUUCCAGCCUCCGGAACUGAAAUUAUUUCAAACUACACGAUCAUUUGAUGAAGAUAGCUCUUAGGAAAAAAGAGAUGCUCUCCUCUGACUUCUUAGAAUCACUGCACUGCCAAACGGGGAUUUACUUCUAUUGCCUCAUCCAAGUCAGUUCCAAAGCUUAACUCUUCCAUGAAGUUUUCCAUGAUCAAUCCUGCCUAAGAGAACAGGAACAAACCAGAGAAAAUCAUAUGUGUGAGAAUGGAAUAAGGGCUAUCAGAAGAAAGAAAUUUUGACCUAUUUCUGGAAGAUGGAAGCGUAAAGCAGACUGGAA